rnacentral:tRNA from 1 species
UAGCUUAGUGGCAGAGUGCUUACCUGGCAUGUACAAGGCUCUGGGUUCAAUUCCCAGCACUGGAA